AUAAUAAUACAGGGACGUAGCUGGGUGUGGUGGCUUGUGCCUGUAAUCUUACCGCUCUGGGAGGCUGAGGCUAGAGGAGUAAGAUCAGGAGUUUAAGACUAGUCUGAGCAAGAGUGAGAUUUCCCUCUCUACUAAAACUAGAAAAAUUAGCUGGACAUCAUGGUAGGUGCAUGUAGUCUCAGGUACUCAGGAGGCUGAGGCAGGAGGAUUGUUUGAAGCCAGGAGUUUAAGGUUGCUGUGAGCUAGGUUGAUGUCACAGCACUCUGCCCUGAGCAACAGAGUAAGACUCGGUCUCGAAACAAAACAAAACAGGAACAGUAUUUGCCUUUUUUAUUCUCAUUUUUUCAGGGAAGUUUUUUUCCAGAUACUAUAUGAUAUGUUAUCUAGCAAUAGGUAAACUAUAGAAGCAGAUAAGAGAAUUCAAGCUUGGCGUUCGAUCGGUAGCGGGAGCGGAGAGCGGACCCCAGAGAGCCCUGAGCAGCCCCACCGCCGCCACCGGCCUAGUUACCAUCACACAUUGGGAGGAGCCGCAGCUGCUGCAGCCGGCCCCAGUCACCAUCACCGCAACCAUGAGCAGUGAGGCUGAGACCCAGCAGCCGCCCGCCGCCCCCGCCCUCAGCACUGCCAACACCAAGCCCGGCACUACGGGCAGCAGCGCAGGGAGCGGUGGCCCGGACGGUCUCAAAUCUGUGGCGCCUGCCGGCAAGGACAAGAAAAUCAUCACAACAAAGGUUUUGGGAACAGUAAAAUGGUUCAAUGUGAGAAACGGAUAUGGUUUCAUCAACAGGAAUAACACCAAGGAAGAUGUAUUUGUACACCAGACUGCCGUAAAGAAGAAUAACUCCAGGAAGUACCUUCGCAGUGUAGGAGAUGGAGAGACUGUGGAGUUUGAUGUUGUUGAAGGAGAAAAGGGUGCGGAGGCAGCAAAUGUUACAGGCCCUGGUGGAAUUCCAGUUCAAGGCAGUAAAUAUGCAGCAGACCGUAACCAUUAUAGGCACUAUCCACGUCUCGGGUCCUCCAUGCAAUUACCAGCAGAAUUACCAGAAUAGCGAGAGUGGGGGAAAAGAACGAGGGAUUGGAGAGAGCUCCUGAAGGCCGGGACCAACAACGCCGGCCCUACCGCAGGCGAAGGUUCCCACCUUACUACAUGCGGAGACCCUAUGGGCAUCGACCACAGUAUUCCAACCCUCCUGUGCAGGGAGAAGUGAUGGAGGGUGCUGACAACCAGGGUGCAGGAGAACAAGGUAGACCAGUAAGACAGAAUAUGUAUCGGGGUUAUAGACCACGAUUCCACAGGGGUCCUCCUCGCCAAAGACAGCACAGAGAAGACGGCAAUGAAGAGGAUAAAGAGAAUCAAAGAGAUGAGACCCAAGGUCAGCAGCCGCCUCAACGUGGGUACUGUCGCAACUUCAAUUACCGACACAGACCCCCAGAAAACCCUAAACCACAAGAUGGCAAAGAGACAAAAGCAGCCGAUCCACCAGCUGAGAAUUCGUCCGCUCCCGAGGCUGAGCAGGGCGGGGCUGAGUAAAUGCCGGCUUACCAUCUCUACCAUCGUCCAGUUUAGUCAUCCAACAAGAAGAAACGAAUAUGAAAUUCCAGCAAUAAGAAAUGAGCAAAAGAUUGAAGCUGAAGACCUUAAGUGCUUGCUUUUUGCCUGUUGACCAGAUAACUAGAGCUAUCUGCAUUAUCUAUAGCAUGGGGUUUUUAUUAUUUUUACCUAAAGAAGUCUUUUUUGGUAAUAACAAACAUGU